rnacentral:rRNA from 1 species
UACGUAGGGACCAAGCGUUGUUCGGAUUUACUGGGCGUAAAGGGCGCGUAGGCGGCAACUCAAGUCAGCUGUGAAAUCUCCGAGCUUAACUCGGAACGGUCAGCUGAUACUGUUUUGCUAGAGUGCAGAAAGGGCAACCGGAAUUCUUGGUGUAGCGGUGAAAUGCGUAGAUAUCAAGAGGAACACCUGAGGCGAAGGCGGGUUGCUAGGCUGACACUGACGCUGAGGCGCGAAAGCUAGGGUAGCAAACGGG